rnacentral:tRNA from 1 species
AUCCUGUUGGCACAGUGGUUAAAGUGAUCAACUGCUAACUGAAAGGUUGGUGGUUCGAAACCACCAGAGGCUC